GGGCUAUGAUGAUUCAUUGAUAUAAGGUCUCGUUCGUCGUAACGGCCGUUAAGGCCUUGCCGACCAUCCUGUUAUAUCACCACCCAUAUUCUGAGUCU